rnacentral:lncRNA from 1 species
UAUGAUGCUGUCAGAGUGAAACAUGACGCCCACUUCGCGCCACCUGCAGCAGGAAACGGCAGUGCGUUUGGGUUAUCGCCUAUUAAAGGCGUGCAGUACGCUUCCAGCAGCAGUAC